GGAUUUGUUGCGUGGCUCCUAGAGAACUGAGAGAGAGAGAGAGAGCGAAACAGAGAGAGAGACCUGCGUUUUGGAGGAAGACCUCCAUCCAUCUGGGUUUGUUUUGAGAUCGAUCUGAAUUAUUUAGGGAUUGCUGAUAGGUUUUCCAUUCGAUCGACAGCACCUGAUUUUGGAACCAGUUUGCAGUCAGAUUCCUUGAAUCUUUUGGAUCCAGCCUUUCCAUCCGACGAUGGAAAUUCCCAGAGCUUCUUUGCUCCACGAAGAGAAAGAGAGAGAGCGCAAUUGCACGAAGAGAAGAUAUAUCCGCCCUUAACCGAAGAAUCUGGUUCUUCAAGUUGCUGGAUACGACAGUGUCAAGGUCGGUUCUUGCUUAAUCCGAUUUCUUUAUGGGUUGUUAAUCAUGCGAUUGUUGGUUUAAUAAUUUUCAUGUUCUUCUCUGGCAAGGAUUGCGGUUGAUUACCUGCAUCCAGGAUAGUGGUGUCAGAGAAAUCAAGCCCAAGUGUAGUAUAAUCAUGACAUAUACAGGACAUACCUCGCAUUUUCUGCUCAUGUGACACGAACAAUGAGAUUCACUUUUGGAAUAUUAAUCAGUAUUCGUGCGUUCGUGUUUCUAAGGGAAGUUCAGCACAGGUGAGGUUCCAGCCAAGAAUUGGACAAUUGACCGAUGCUGAGAGUGAUAGGCAGACACAUUCACUGCAGGAAACUCUAGAAGCUGAGAUGAAGAUGCUCAGGAAGAAGCUGACCUUUAAAUCCAAUGCCUAACAGCCUAAUGCUGAUCCUCUUUCUGAUAUCUCUAGAUCAAGAAGGAUCGAGAGAGCCAGACAGGUCAAGAAGGAUCGAGAGCGUGCAGGUGUGUUUCUUUGCUUUCGGGAGAGAGAGAGAGAGAGAGAGAGAGAGGAGUUAUUCAGGAUCGAGAGAGUGCAGGUUUGUUUCUAGAGAAAGCACAGUCGAAACACAGAGAGAGAGAGCGCGCGCGAAAGAGAGUGGUGAUUCCGUUUUGCUGUGAGGAGGAAGAAGAUCUGCGUCUUGGAUAGGUCUGCCGUUUACCUUUUGGGGGUAUUGUUCGGUUUUGCUGUGAGAAGGAGGAGGAUCUGCGUUUUGGAUAACUCUGUCGGGGGUAUUGUUUGUGCUUCAGUUUAUUUCAGUGAUUGAUUGGAGGAGGUUCAAGAAGAAAAGAAAAGAAGAAGAACAAGAGGAAGAAGAAAAGGAAGAAGAAGAGGGAAAUCGAGUAAAUUGAUCAUCCCAGCUGUGAUCUAAAUUGGGAGUGUGAUAUGGAUUUCUAUAAUCAGUGGAUUGCUUCUUUUCUCUGCGGUCGUUUAAGGAGGAUUGAGAGGUUUUUGUUGCAUCUUUUGCAUUGGUUGGGUUAUAGUUUGAAAAAGGAGGGAGCUAGAUUCGUCAGUUUUGUUCUGCUGGGGAAGAAGACGAAUUACUAAUUCUGUUCUUUUCUUUUGUCGGUCUUGAUCACAUCUGGGUGCUUUUGAUCUCAUCUCAAUCGCUCCAACUGCAGUUUAUUUGGGUGGUUAUGACAAUUGACAAAGAAGACAAAGCGGCUAGAGCUUAUGACUUAGCAGCAUUGAAAUAUUGGGGCACCAGUCCCGCAACCACUACCAACUUCCCGAUGAGUGCAUAUAUGAUAUAUUCUGAUCAGUAGCUAUGAGAACAAGAUUGAUGAAAUGAAGCCCAUGACAAGACAGGAGUAUGUUCCAUCUUUGAGGAGAAAGGAAACCCCUCAUCAUUCUUAUAAUUUGGACAAUCAUAUGCAUCAGUUCAAGGGAAGUAGCGCAAGCAUCAGAACCAAAAAGGUGAAAGCUGAAUGCCAACAGUUCAGGGAAUAUUGUAGGGCAGGAAAUAGAGAAUGGUUAUUGUUUGGAACAGCACACGAGAGGAUCAGAGGAUGAUUGUUACUGAUAUUCGAAUUAGAACAAAUCUCCUGAACAGAAAAUGAACAAGUAUGAUGGUAGAGUUCCUAUGAGUUCAGAUUCGAUGAGUAAAAUAGAGGCAGAACUUGAAGCUGAACUUGGGAGGUUGGGGCUAAACAAGAAUACUUCUACUUUGGAGAGAAGAUUAACUGAUCUUGAUGAGGUGAUGGUGUGAGUGUGUGACAGAGUAAAAGCAGGAUCUCCUUCAAUAUAUCUGACAGCUGUUAAGAGUGUCACUGAUCAAAUUUCAAAAAGAGAGAUCGCAAAAGCUCUUUCUAUAUCCAAUAAUUACAUAGAAAUUGAAGAUGGUAAAACUUUCCUGAACUUAUGGCCUGUAUGUGGAGAAUAAACCAAUGAAUUUAUAAACAUUCCCCUGUUUAAUUAAUGACAUAUAUGCAUAAGAUUUUUAGAUACUCA